rnacentral:rRNA from 1 species
GAUUUUAGCAUGGAAUAAUGGAAUAGGACAUCGGUUCUAUUUUGUUGGUUUCUAGGACCGCUGUAAUGAUUAAUAGGGAUAGUCGGGGGCGUCCGUAUUCAAUUGUCAGAGGUGAAAUUCUUGGAUUUAUUGAAGACGAACUACUGCGAAAGCAUUCGCCAAGGAUGUUUUCAUUAAUCAGUGAACGAAAGUUAGGGGAUCGAAGACGAUCAGAUACCGCCGUAGUCUUAACCAUAAACUAUGCCGACUAGGGAUCGGACGGUGGUUUUUUUAUGCCCCGUUCGGCACCUUACGAGAAAUCAAAGUGUUUGGGCUCGGGGGGGAGUAUGGUCGCAAGGCUGAAACUUAAAGAAAUUGACGGAAGGGCACCACCAGGGGUGGAGCCUGCGGCUUAAUUUGACUCAACACGGGGAAACUCACCAGGUCCAGACACAAUGAGGAUUGACAGAUUGAGAGCUCUUUCUUGAUUUUGUGGGUGGUGGUGCAUGGCCGUUCUUAGUUGGUGGAGUGAUUUGUCUGCUUAAUUGCGAUAACGAACGAGACCUUAGCCUGCUAAAUAGCCCGUAUUGCUUUGGCAGUACGCUGGCUUCUUAGAGGGACUAUCGGCUCAAGCCGAUGGAAGUUUGAGGCAAUAAACAGGUCUGUGAUGCCCUUAGAUGUUUCUGGGCCGCACGCGCGCUACACUGACNGAGCCAGCGAGUACUCCCUUGG